rnacentral:lncRNA from 1 species
GUCUGCUGUUGUUGUUGUAUUGCUGUCUGCUGCUGCUGAAUCCUACUGCUGCUGCUGAUCUUUCUGCUGCUGUCUGCUGCUGAAUACUGCUGCUGUAUUGUUGUCUGCUGAAUAUUGCUGAAUACUGCUGCUGCUGUCUUUCUUAUAGGUUUAUGAGAAGAAAAAAACUGUGCGCUGGAAGUAUGACCUUGGCUGGAAAAGGAAUUUUGAACAGGUGAUAUGCAUAAGCCACUCUUCUAUACACAAUUGCACAGUUAAUUUAUCUUACACUUGAACUGACAUUCUGAAACUUGAUACAUAUGUAGGUCUCGCUGAGAAUGAAUGAAGUGGAAUACUAUUUUUUGUUGAAAUUUCCAGUUCUAUAGCUUUCAUUACAGUUUUAUUGUAAUAAUUGGACAGACGAAUUACUAAGCUUUUCUGUUUGAGCAUUUGAACUAUUAGGAUUGUGUGUGUGCUUGUUGUAAACAUUUGGAAAGGGAUUNNNN